rnacentral:rRNA from 1 species
AAAUAGAACUUUGCAGAGAGAGUUAACAGGGCGUGAAACCGUUAAUUGGCAAACGAAUCGGAGCCACGAAGUCGUUUCGAUGCUAGUUGGGCCAGGUUCAGUUUGGAAUCAAAAAUUCCGGGCGUAUUCUUGGUGCAACCAUUGUAAGCGUACACUGCAACCAGUUAGACAAUUGAAGAUGGAAUCAGUUACUAGGGUUAGUAGUAGUAGGGGAUGCUUCGGUAUUUCCUGUUGCUGGGCGCCUAGUAAGUGAACUAUCUUCAAAUACUGACUGGCACAUUGAAAACCGCCCCUAUGGGCGUUUCACACAAUGCUGUUGGCUAUACAGUAGCCUACAUGCGCGACCAUGGGGUUUUAAGCUCGACAUCUUCGAAUUUGGACUGGCCAUCUACUAAAGGGCAACUUUUGGUGUUGGUUUAGCUUCCAUCUAAUCAGGUGUUGACUUGAUUCUAUGUUGUUCGAACAUGAAACGAUUGGGCUGUUGUAUAAGCUAAUAAGCCAUUGAUUGGCAGUGAGUAGGUCGGCUUUCCGAACGACCCGUCUUGAAACACGGACCAAGGAGUCUAAUUAGGCAUCGAGUCGAUCGGUCUUGAAUAGGCCAGACUAGGGAUCUCUCCCUGAUUGAAGGCGUAGAGACAUGUGAUCAGGGCGACAACAACAGUCCCUAUGCGCAACAUGUGCCUGUUCGUAUAACAAUGUGUAAAAUUGUUGGCGGAGCAAAGAGAUGCCUGAUUGGUACCCGAAAGAUGGUGAGCUUGGGCAAGUUGAAGCCAGAGGAAACUCUGGUGGAGGACUGUAGCGAUUCUGACGUGCAAAUCGAUCGUCAGACCUGAGUAUAGGGGCGAAAGACUAAUCGAACCAUC